UGGUUCAAAAGUGAAAGACGGUCUUGCUGUCACUUAUAGAUGGAUCCGCGCUGCAUUAGCUAGUUGGUAAGGUAACGGCUUACCAAGGCAACGAUGCAUAGCCGACCUGAGAGGGUGAUCGGCCACACUGGAACUGAGACACGGUCCAGACUCCUACGGGAGGCAGCAGUAGGGAAUCUUCCGCAAUGGGCGAAAGCCUGACGGAGCAACGCCGCGUGAGUGAUGAAGGUCUUCGGAUCGUAAAACUCUGUUAUUAGGGAAGAACAUAUGUGUAAGUAACUGUGCACAUCUUGACGGUACCAAUCAGAAAGCCACGGCUAACUACGUGCCAGCAGCCGCGGUAAUACGUAGGUGGCAAGCGUUAUCCGGAAUUAUUGGGCGUAAAGCGCGCGUAGGCGGUUUUUUAAGUCUGAUGUGAAAGCCCACGGCUCAACCGUGGAGGGUCAUUGGAAACUGGAAAACUUGAGUGCAGAAGAGGAAAGUGGAAUUCCAUGUGUAGCGGUGAAAUGCGCAGAGAUAUGGAGGAACACCAGUGGCGAAGGCGACUUUCUGGUCUGUAACUGACGCUGAUGUGCGAAAGCGUGGGGAUCAAACAGGAUUAGAUACCCUGGUAGUCCACGCCGUAAACGAUGAGUGCUAAGUGUUAGGGGGUUUCCGCCCCUUAGUGCUGCAGCUAACGCAUUAAGCA
rnacentral:rRNA from 1 species